UUGACCUUCAAAAUGCGUAUAGCCAUGUACAAAAAUUUUAUACUCAUAUAUACACUUUUUUGGUUAAACUUUUGACUCAAAACGUGUCCUAUUUGGACUUAAAACUUACGCGUGAGUAGGAUGAUGGAAUCGUGAGCAUAAGAUAAUGAUCAUUAAUUAGUUCGAGUUAGUAACAUAAUGUUUAAGUAUAUUUUUAUUAAGUCGAUCUUAAUAAUUGAUCUAAGCGGAAGUUCCUAGUAUAAGACAAACAUUUUGUGGGUCAAUUUUAUAGUGUGUUAGGAUUGUGGGGACCCUAAUUAAUGAUUAAGUUACUAGAAUAUUUUAGCUAUUGGACUAAGGCUUAGUUUGGUAUUGAGACAUCUCUAACGUUAUUAGAUAAAAUGGAGUUGAGGAAAAAGCAUAUAGGAAUAAGCUUCUGUGUUUUCCGGUGAGACCGCAGAAAAUAUAUCAUAACCGACUCAUCGCGAUAUACGAAACGCAAUAUUACGUACGGAAACAAAGAGGGCAUUUUUCCAACGUACUUUCUCACCGCACGUAACGCAAUCUCCCUGCAAUCCCAAACGAAGUUAAAUUUUGUUAGUAAAAUAUUAGAAAUACUAUUUUAUUCUUUCAAACAUAUCCUUCUACCAUCGCCAAUUUUUUUUUAGGGAUAAUUGCCUAUAUACCUCUCAAAAUUUCGAAAAUAUCUAAUUUAUCCCUACUUUUUUUUUUCUUUCUAAUAUACCCCUUAUAUGUUCCUCCGUUAUUUCAAUACCCCUACAAUUACCACCCGUUAAGUUAACUUGGGUUAAACAUAAGUUAAAUAUCUACCAUAGUUAAAAAAAAUUAAAAUUUUAAUUUUGCCCUUAACUUAAGGGCAAAUAAAAAAUGUUUGUAACGGUAGAGGGGUAUAUUUGAAAAGACCAAAAGUCAAAAUAUUUUUUGUACUCCUAACUUAAGGGCAAAUAAGAAAAGUCAGUGAUAGUGGAAUGGUACAUUUGAAAGAGCAAAAUAGUAAUUUUAUACAGAUAACAGAGUUCAUUGACAGAUUUUAACUCUAGGGGUAUAUUUGAAAUAGGUUGAAACGUAAAAAAUGUAUUUUCAAUAUUAGCUUUCUAAGAGGGGUAAAUUAGAAAGUCGGAAACUUUUAAGGGGUAUAUAAGCAAUUGCCACUUUUUUUUUAUUUGUUCUUAAAUUAAGGCAAAAGAAGCAUUUUGACAUUUUGUCAUUUCAAAUAUACCCUUCUACCAUUACCAACUAUUUUUAUUUGUUCUUAAGUUAGCGGCAAAAGAAGCAUCUUGACUUUUUGCCAUUUUAAAUAUACCCUUCCACCGUCACCGAUUUUACUUAUUUGUCUUUAAGUUAGGGACAAAAGAGGUAUUUUAACUAUUUUUUUAAAACUCUGGUAGAAAUAUAAUCCGAAUUUAUCUGAGAUUACAAUGAUUAACAUCGGAGUUAUUUUGAAUAAGGGAGAAAUAUACAAUGGGUAUAUUUGAAAAAAAAAAAAGAAAAGGCAAUUAAGGCUAUAUAAUAUAUUUUAGAAGUUUUGAGGGGUACAUAGGUAAUUAUCUCUUUAAGAUAUGUGUGUAAGUUCUAGAAUUCUAGAAAGCUUUGUGGGUUUCUUUCAAUAAUUAAUUGUAGAGAAACUUGAUUAACAAGAAAGGAUAUAUAUACAUUUAUCUCAUGAUGGUUAUUUGAAAUCAAUGAAUGAAAUAAAGUAGAAGAAUAGUUUUCAAAAUAUAAUUGGUAACACUCUUGUCAAAUUUAGGUCAAAAUACACCUACCAACAGAAUUAAAUUCGAUUACCUAGCUAGCUAUUAUCCUAUAAUCUCCACAAUAUAUCAAAUCAAUUGGCAUCUAAAAUUGACUUUUCUGUGUAACUGUGGCUUUCAUUCUAGUUAGUGGUUGAAAAAUGUAAAGAGAACAAAUUAGUUUGAACUCAACCUAGGAGACAUGAUUUGCAAAUAGGAGGUACAUAUUACAAGAACAAAUUUCUGAACCAUGCAUGUUGGUCAACUUUACUGUAGUUGUACAGGAAAUAAAAUGUUGGCCCACUAAUCCUCUUUAAAUUGCCAUUUUGAUGGGUCUUUUGGUUACUUUCUCUAUGAACUAUUGAACAUGACAACAAACUUCAGUUUCGGUGUGCAACUAGAACAUUAAUGGCGGCUCGAUCGGUACUUAUUUUAUCGUAUAGAUUGCAAUCAGUGUCCAUUGUGCAUGCUGAGUUUAAAAUUCAAUUGAGUUGUAAGACCCCAAAUAGUCCUAUAUAUAAGAUAUAAUAGGGUUAAACUCUUAAUCCAGUUUAAGCAUUUUUGGUGGUGACUAGACCCAAGAGAUUAAGAGAGUUAAGCGUGUUAGGACGGGAGUAGUCAUAGGAUGGGUGACUCCCUGAGAAGUUGGGGCGUCACAUGAGUUUGCCUAGGAGAAGAAAAUCGAUAAAUAAUGAUCAAUAUGCAAUAAUCCGCUCUUACAUUACUGCACCGAUCAAACUCAAUAAUACAACAUUAAUAGUUAUUUUUGGUACUUAUACUGAAAUGACCAGACAUGUUGUAUAGCACGAAUCAAACGGGCUCUUAAGACGAGAUGCUGAUAGUCAAAUAGCAAGGAUCACAUGGCAUUAGUUAAUUAUAGAAUAUUCAAACUCUACAUAAUUCUUCAUAGCUCUUCCUCGACCUAUAAAUUCACAAACACUGUUGAGAAAAGCACAUAUUUAUAUAUGUGCACAUUUUUGCUUGUGGGUGUCUUUGUUUGUAACUACAAAAAGCAAAACGUGACCCUCUUGGUCUCAAACUCUAUAGCCUCCUCCUAUUUGCAUACAUUAUAAGCCUAUUCAUACUGCUUUUAGAAAAAGAAAAGAAAAAUGUUUCUUAUUCUAUCUUUGCUGCUACACUAUUAAGCAAGAGCUAUAUCAUUAGGCAAACUAGUUUAAUGAUUUGUGUGUUCACUAAGUGGUGACCCUUUUCUCACCAUUAAUUCUCCUCUUCAUGUAGUUAAAUAAUAAUAAUAAUAAUAAUAAUAAAAGUAAAGAAUUAAGAAGAACAUAUGUACAUGUCCUUCUCUCCCUGCUACAGCUACCACCCUCUAAUCUACAACCCUAUGCUACUAAAUCAAUCUAAUUAGUUUCCAAUUCAAUCAUCACAAGAUGUCCUAAUCAAAUCUCGAGCGAUUAGAUACGAAUCCGAUAUGUGUGUCCAAUCGAUCUCUUAGCUAGGACCAAAAUGCUAGUCCUUGUGUGGUGUUCAAAGUCCAAGAGGUAGAAGGAAAAGGAGAAGAUCAUCGCUAUCGAUCGCCACUACCGCAUGCAGUAGGCUUUAUGUUCAACUCCCAACUCCCUCUACGAGUAUUCGCACAAGCGUCUGCGUGAUUCAAGUGUGAUGGGGGUGACGAAGUCGACCAUCCUAGUGGCAUGUACAUCAGUAGUGGAGGCGAAAAGGCGAAGAUGGAGAUGUGUUGAGGAUGGAAUUCAAGAAAGCAAGCUUAGUAGAAAAUAAGGAAAGAACCUUGGAAGGCUUUUUUUUUUUUUUGAGUUCUUGGUUUGUCUAGGUACAUGCAUGCAUACAUUGCCACGUGUGAUGAUUUAGGCACACAUUUUUUUUAAGAUAAAGCUUCUCAAGGGAAUCUUCUGUUCAUGUGCGCAAAGCAUUGCACUGUUGAUUCCGUAGGAAAUAACAAAUAGUCAUGGUAUGUUAUGCCAUGGUACCUACCAUAUUCCAUUUUUCUCUUCUAAGGUCAAAAAUUUCCAGUUAUUUGGUGUCCUUAGCAAGGCCAUUUGUCAAACAAUGAAGUUGUUCCCAUCUUAUACUUUGAUCCAUCAAUCAAAUUAAGCUCGGUGUAAUCAUGUCAUAAGCAUGGAUGGCUCCUAACACAUUCCAAAAGGCUCACAAGUAAUAUUGUGUGUGUGUGUGUGCGCGUAUUUCUUUUUAAAAAAAGAUAACUUGUUAUCUGUUUCAUUCAUUAACAAGAGAAAUUUAACAACAAUACUACAGUGAAAGGGGCCUCUAGAAAGCAAACUAAAAAAAAAAUAAAAAUAGCAAAGGAGAAAAAACAGAGACAACAAAAAUAUUGCUCGAUCCACAGAAUCAAUAUAAAAGAUACUCAGAAAACAAAAUGAGAAAGUCAAGAGCUCCAAAGUUAGCUGCAGUGCUCGUCCCACAGAUCCAAAAGCCCACGGAUACAGUUAAGAACGUUGAUUGAUCAGAUUCGAGCUAAGAUCUCGGAAAAUAAUGCUGUUCCUUUCAAGCCAAGUUGCCCAAUAGAAGGCUGCCAGGAUGGUCAGCCCCUGCUUCCUUGUGCAUUUCUUGUUACUUUGGGGUCAAAAAGCUUGCAGAGGAAUUUACAACAGUGACCCUACUGUAGCUUAUCCACAGAGAUAAAAGAAUAUGGAGUCACCUUUUCUAAAUUUUUUUGGGACCCUUUAUAUUGCUGCACCACUUUGCUAAGACAAGGAGAUUUCAUAUGUGAAACAGAUAUUUUAAUUUCUUACUAUUCCUUUCACACGCCGACACGUGUCGACAAUUUGUGUAGUCAACUAAGCAGAGCUUAAUUAUUGGAACAGGUUUGAGUUCUCCAAUUAAUAUGCUCUAUGAACACAUGAUGAGAUCCUAUAGGAGGAUAAGAUGCCAAGAUAUGAUCUAGGUAGGUACAAAGCUUCUGUAGUGCUUGUUGAAUGAAUUGUGAGAUGGUGCCAAGUGCACGGUUGAGAUGAGAGACCAUUUUUUGAUGUAGAGAAGCAAACAAUCAAUGAGAGACAGCUAAAAGGAGUUAGCUCUUUGCAGGUGUUAAGCAUAGAUUUGGAGUGUUUGACAUGGUUAGGAAAAGGAAGGAGAGUAGUAGAGAGUUCACCAAUUAAGAUGGGUUCAAUUAUUAGCUGUAACUCCACUUUUAUUGGUUGUAAUAUGUGAUUAUAAUUCACUGCUAAUUAUACUUUGAUAAAAUUUGCAUCAAGAUAUUGGCAAAUGAAUAUUUAUUAGUCCCUUGCUUCAACAGGGCUUUGUGAAACUAUUUGCUCUACAACAUUUAAGCUACUAGGGACCACCGUCGUGUUGUGUAUAUAUAUAUAUAGAGAGAGAGAGCUGGAAUACUAUCGGUAGCAAAUGAACUCUAUUGUCAUCCAUUUAUUUUCGAUGAUGGAGCUUCCAAAUCGACUAUCGGCACCGUUGAAUCUAUAGCACUUGAAGUAUUUAGAAACCAAAUUUUAUGUUUUUCCGAUAGUAUUCUCUUGUCCAUCAAAUGGAUACAAAAAUAAAUAGCUCAGAAUAAAUAUCCUUUAAAAAGUGAUGAUAGAAAUCCUGUAAUCAAGAUCGAAAGUAUAGAUCUUAUUCUAAAUAGGUUAAAAAAUUUUCUAACCAAAAUUAAAUUGAUUCGGAUAUUUUUACACCGUUAAACGUGAAAACGCCUUGUAUCGACCAUUAAAAUUACAAAUUUUGGUAUAAAUAUAUAUGAGUGAGGCUUUGUAGGCUUCUGGAAGCACGGAACCCUCUGUGCUUUCAAGUCGUUUUCAAUAUUAGGAUUUUCGAAUCGACGAUCGGUUCUGUUAGACUUGAUAUGGAGAAUUUGAAGUACCUAGAAAAUAAAUUUGUGAUUUUUUGAUAUCAUUCGGCUAGUGAUCGAAGGGGCUCAAAAUCAAUAAUUUUAAUGGCUGUCGUGAACCGUUUGCAAGUUUAACGGUAUAAAAAUAUUCAAAUCACGUGAAAUUUUGAUAGAAAAUUUUUUAUACUAUAUAAAAUAAAAUCAAUAUAUUUAAUCUAAUCAAAUUUUGUGAGAUUUUUAUUUUCAGCUAUUGAUUUUAAGCCUCUUCAAUUACUAGGCAAAUGAUAUUAUAAAAGCACAAAUUUAUUUUCUAAAUACUCUAAAUCAAGUCUAACGAAGGCGAUCGUCGAUUUCAAAACACGGAGGGCUCUAUACCUUCAGAAGCAUACCGGCCUCAUUAUAUAUAUAUAUACAUAUAUAUAUAUAUAUAUAUAUAUAUAUGUAUUGUGUUUGGCACUUAUUGUCUAUGUGCUCAUUUUUUAAUAGAUUUAAAAUGUGGACUGUAAAUUACGAUGAAUAUUUUUUAUUUUGAAUUGAAAAGUGAUAUUUGGAUUGUUUUACAUGGUACCAAGCUUUUUGAUCAUUUAUUUGCCUUUACUAAAUAAUAUAUAAACAAAGAAAACCCAGCCCCUUGGUUCAAAUUUAGGUCCUAAAUACGUAGACCACUUCCUAAUAGACCAAUAUUAUUAGGCAUCAGAACCUGACUCUGUAAGUUGCCCUUUCAUGGGCAAUUUGAAGUUCAAAUUCGAAAACUGUUUGUAAGAGACAUUACUCUGUUGUGUCAUCAUGCCCUUGCGACUAUGGGCACUGUUAUCUUGUGACAUCAUUAAAUACACAUGAAGUAUACAAGUAUAUACUAAAUUGUAGAUCUGAUCAUGGUAACAUUCAUUGUUGCCAAUCACAUUCAUAUCAAAGAACUGAUUAAAGCAGGAGAGAUUCAUAGAUCGCGGCAGGAUCCACAUAUUUUAACCAAUCACAACAUCCACAUAUAUUAUUUCUCACGGAACUAUGUUUUACAUCUAAUCAGCUGACCAAGUAGUGAACUAGUUGGGUGGAUAAAUUUGUUCUCAUCACUGUUUCUGGAACUGUAAAUGUCAUGACAACUAAAAAGUUCUGUUUCAGAAAAGUAAAAAGACUGAAAAGAAAAAUAACAGACUGAUCAGUAGAAAGAUCAAUAACAUUAAAGCAGCUAAAAUGAGUCCGCAACAAACCGCCACUCCGCAUCGGCACUUAUAUAUAACUGUUUUACACCAAAAUGGAUUGCUACCGUAUGCUGUGCGUAGUCUCGGGCUAUGCAAUUCCCCUGAUUCAGUUUCUAGGCUCCUGCUAUUAUUCCUGGUGACUGCAGCUUGUUCUAUAGAAUUAGAAACAGUAUAUGCCUCUCAGAAGUGAAAUCUUAAAGCAGCAAAACAUAACGCGCCACAACUGACAACUUAACUGCAUCCACAAUGUACUCGUCCACAACAGCAUCGCGGUUGUAAAAGCUGGAAUAGCUUUACAUUGGGCAGGGUAACUUUAAGUAUGUACUGUGUCACUUUUGCCUAUAUCCCUUCUGAAAUAGACACCAAGAAGCUUCGAAUUCUAUGGCCAAACGGUAAGCAGCUAGCCAGCUACUGACUUGUCAUUAACUGCUUUGAGAAGAAGCAAAUAUUGGCCCGCGGGUAUACAACUGUGACAAAGCCUGUGUAUACACUGUUAUGACCGAACUUCAUAUUGUCCUGCUUGAGUGAUGGCACGGAAACCUUUAUAAGGAGAGCUUGGCGUGUUUUUGACAUCCAAUUUAUCUAUUUGCAACCCCGAAAAAGCGACCCCUGUGAUCUUGAAUUUAACUUGGAAGGUGGGGAAUACAUGCAGACGAUCCAUGCCAUCAAGAACUAAGUUACCUGUGAGUGAUGGGGAUUUGUCUUUCGGGAUUCUUCCGAUAGACCAAGAACAAGUCUGCAAAAUGAUCAACAAAUUAAAAAAAUAAUAAUAGAAAAAAAAAAACUUAGAUCUCACAGAAAAGGCAAAAAUUAUUCCCUUUGCAGCCGUAGAGUUGAAAUUUAUUCUUUUUAAAGGACAACUUGUGCAAACGCUAGCAGUAAAGGAAGGCCGGUUAAUAAAAAAAGUCACUAACCUUAUCAGCGAGAAUGUUCACAGUGCCAUAGUUUGAGGUUAAAUCAGCUGACGCAAUACAUAGCGGCAGCUGAAACUUUACUGUUACAGAAUCAAUUGUUUUUCCAGGGUCAUUUCGGAUUCCAACCAAGACAUCGAUGCGACAAUUCCCAGAAUCUGAACUCAGUUGCGGCUUCAGGUAAACCGGUAUAUUCUUCAGAUUCUUAACCCUAAUCAAAAUGUAUGCAUCAUUGGUAACAAAAAAAAACAGAAGAACAUAAAAAUAGAAGCACCCAAAAGAUAACACCACACAGACCUGUAACUCAUGAGCUUAAACUGACCAUCCGGAGGCACAAAUGACAGGACCUGAUGCGAUUCCCAAGGCCGGAAUCGAACACACGGAUGAAACCUAACAUCAUUCAGGAUUGUAGGGUUUGCAAAUGAAAGGGUCAAAUCAGGAAGCCCAGGGAGAUGAGAGUUGACUUGAAUCUCGCCAUACACUUCACAUUUUACUAACAUCCCUUCUCUGAAGAUGACAUGGAGCAAAUGUGCAAUUAGAAUAGGACUUCAGAAACCAGUAUGGUCUAUAAUACAGCAUGAAGUACAAAAUUUCACCCUUUUUUAGAAAGAGAAAACCUGAGUGCAACUUUGAAAACCAUAGAAGGUUACUUAAUAUAUAUUAUGGCCAUAAUUGACACAGUAGAUAAGUCUACAUCACAUUUAGAAGUUGGGUCUCAACAACUUAGAUUAUUAAAAAGAUCAACAGCAUAAUAUACAUAAGCAUGAAACUAGUGGAGACAAGCCAACAACAAUCAUUUUUAAAAUAGAAAAGCAACAACCCUAGAUCUAGGGAACGAGUGGAGAAAAUGAGUCAAUAAAGGAACACAAGAAAAAAAGGAAGUUUCAGAAUGACCUGUUCACCAGUGCAUCCAGUUCCUCAACUAGGUUGACGUAGACCUCAUUGCUUGCAUUCUUCAAGCCCGUUUUCCUCCAAGGAACGCAGGACGCUGUUGCCUCUGGAAGUUUGUUGCUCACGUUAGAACUCUUACCGGUGACAACAUUUAACAUUUUGCUAACAAUAUCUGGUGGUGCUAUCAUCUCUCUCAAGAUGUUCGGUUCUGUUGUAAGGGGAAAGCCGUUGUCCAUCAUUUCAUCCAAUAUCUGCAGUACACAAUUUAUCAGUACUGAAAGUCAUAAAAAGCUGUAAAAGUGCCAAACUAAAUCAAUUAAAAAAAAGAGGCAAUUGCUGAUAAUUAAUACUCAAUUCCUUGAAUCUUGCAGAAUACAUCAUCUUCUUUUAGAUACUUCAAAAAUCACUUCUCUAAUUAUUUGUGACACAUUUAAUGCAAUUUGUCAAAACUAAAGUAAAAUCUGCUCCAAAUACGAAAAGGUGCAUCUACAAAAGAUCUUAGAGAACAAAUAACCCAAGAAAAAUGACUGCCAACUACAGUAAACCACAGAAGAAGUUACAGAAUCUACCUCAUAUACGAUGACAAAAUUAUCCUUUAUCAAGUCCUCAUUCAGGCUUCCGAGAUAAUCUGUCAGCACAUCUGCUACUCUGGAAAGGAACUGCAAGCAAAUGACAAAACAUAAAAGAAUUGAUGUUCCGCACGUGGUUGGAUUUGAAAAGCCCAUACUACACUACAUAAGCUAAUGCCUUUAAAAACAGUAAUUAUCAGCCUAGAUUGCAUGUUAGAAGCAGAACAUAAAUUUCGCAGCAGAGAAGUAUUUCUAGCGGAGAUGUCAUGCUCUCAAUGUCAACUUAGAUACACUUAUAUGACAUUACUAUGGAAAUACUGAAGCGACAAAUGCUAGGUAAAAUUGCUAUUAAGAUGAAGAGUUAACUUCAGUUACUCCCUCUGUGGUUUAGUGAAUUUGCACUUUAUCAUCCCGCAAUUUAAAAAAUUGCACUUUGCUAUCCUGUGAUUUAUUUUCGUUUCACCAUAAGGACUUGUCACUAUAGGUGGUAAAAUAUAGUAUUUCCCGUCCGAUGACUCGAACUUCACUACGUUGUGCUUUGUAAAAUAUUCACCGCGCACCAAAUCACAUUGAUAUUGAGUUUUAAAAAAACAUGGCCUAAUUUCCAGCAACAAAAAUUUUCAUGCUGCAUAUAAAAAUCCUCACAUUGCUAAAAUUUAAUCAAAUCGACAUUUUUUCAACGAGCGCAACUAAAAUCUCACCUCAAUCGCCAUAAGAGGAGGCAUUUCGACCUGCGUGCACGCAAGGAACGUGAUCCCCUCGCGAUAGACCUGGAAAAUAUAGUGUGUGGGAGACGCAAUCACCUGCAAAAUCUACGAAAAAAUCCCCAAAGAAUGUUGAAUCAUCCACAGUUCGCCCCAAAAUCAUAUACAUAUUUAGCAUUAAAUUACUACUUACUAGCAACGAAAUCGUUUCAAUUGGGGUUUACCUUUGAUGAAUCGCCACCUUGUGAGAGCACGUAAUCCCAGAACCAAGCGCAGAUGGAUCGAUCCACCCUGUGCGCCGUCAUCUGCUUCUCCAGCAUCACCUCCCUGCGUCCCCAGUCGCAUCGAAGUAUGGCGAAUUUUAACACAUUUUGAUCUUUAAAUUUGUGCUCAUUUUUAGGGUUUUUUCCCUUCCCCGUAAAAGAUCUAUGGAAAUGGAGAGGAACGUACCCGGAAUCGGAGAGGAGAAAGAUACACUGAAGCAUCUUCAAGCGAUCGAGCGAUCAAGCGAUCAAGCGAUCAAGAAGAGAGAGAAAACGAGAGAGGAUUCGAAGAGAGUGGGGAGGAGAGCUUUUUGAUCGCGGGAGUAAACUAUCCGGUCUAAGAAUUGGGGGCCGGGGUUGAACCGGUCCGGGUUCGAAUCCGAUUACGGAAAGCCCAGGCUCGACCCAAAAGAAAUGACGGGUUUUUAGCCGGGUUCGGGCCGGGUUUGACUUAACCCGAAGUAGGCAUCUUCUAGCACGCAUACCUUCCCAUUCAACUCUUUACACCUUUAAACGGGUUAGUGGGUCACCGGAUCCCCCGGUAACCCUAAUUAAUUAACCAGUAGCGAUUUUUGAACCAACUACGAAUCUCAUCGUCCAGUUGAUAAAACGCGCUUCUUUUUUUUUUACUUUUUUUAUCCCUCUCCCUCGCAACUUUUCCCUCCGCUCCUCAAACAUCUCCCUCUCCAAUUUUUCUCCCUCAAUCUCACAAGAAUCCCACAAAAGGCGCCACCUUUCCCUCUCCAAUCCCCUCCAAACCCUUCGUUCUCCCUUUCCCCGAUCGCUUCGCGUUGCGCCAGGCAUUUCAUGGUUUGUUCUCGCGGGCACUCCCCUCACCUGUUCGACGAAAUUCCCCUGAGAGCACUGUUAUGUUUUUGGCCAAAAGAUGUAACUUUUGGCGUCUCUGGAUCUCGUUCCCUAUUUGGUCAACUCUUCGACCGGUUUCGGCGAUUACCCAGAGCGGUUUUUUCUCGUCGGAGUCUCGUAAGAACUUGUCGGAGUUGUUUCAGCCACCGGCGCCGGCGUAUUCUGAUUCCGCUUGUCAAAUUGGAAGGAUUUUGCAGUGCAAUCAGUGGUCGGAGUCUGUAGCUAUGGAAUUGGAAAGGCUCGGUGUGGAGUUGAAUCCUUAUGUGGUUAAUCAAGUUUUGAAAAGCUUGUCGGAUUCGGCUUUGGCCUUCCACUUUUACUGGUGGGCCGAAUCCCGGCCUGAUUUUGAGCACGAUCACUUCACUAUCAAGUCGAUCGUCUCCCUCCUGUUGCAAGAUCAGAACUUUGGGCUGUUAUCGGAUGUUUUGAGAAGAAUUAGGCGUAAGGGUUUAUCUUUGCACCGGUCCUUGUACCGGAUUCUUAUAUCUGGUUACGUUCGCGCAGGGUUGAUUGGUUCGGCGAUAGAAAUGUUUGAUCAGAUGAUUGUGUCUGGUUGCCGUGUAUUUAGUAUAGAUUAUAAUCGACUCAUUGGUGUUUUAAUUAAGAAUCAAAACUUUGAUUUAGUGGAGAAGUACUAUAAUAUGAUGAUUCAACAAGGUUUAUCUUUGACCCCGUUCACUUACUCAAGGUGGAUAUCCAGUUUAUGUGAAGCAAGAAGAAUUGGGCUUGUUGAGAACCUCCUAGGCGAUAUGAAUAAGAUUGGGUCUUUUCCGGAUAUUUGGGCUUGCAAUAUAUAUUUAGAUUCUCUAUGUAAGGAUAGAAGGUUGGACGAUGCCAUGAAUUUUUUAGAGACCAUGGUUAAGAAGGGGAGAGACCCAGAUGUUGUAACUUACACCACGAUAAUUAACGGUUUGUGUGAAAGUAAACGAAUCUCAGAUGCGGUAGAGCUAUGGGAGGAAAUGGUGAAGAGGGGGUUUACGCCGGAUGGUGUUGCUUGUGGUGCCCUAAUAUUUGGUUUAUGUAAUCAUGGUAAGGUCGAUGUAGCUUAUGAGCUCGCAAUGGGAAUGCUAAAGAUGAACAUCGAUAUCUCUGUAUCAGUUUAUAAUGCCCUAAUAAGUGGGUUCUGGAGAGCUGGAAGAGUUGAUAAAGCCCAUACAAUUAUGUCCUUCAUGCAAAGAAAUGGAUGCCAACCCGAUUUGGUCACAUACAAUAUACUUCUGAAUCAUUACUGUAAUAAGGUUAUGCUGGAUAAAGCAUAUAAUUUAAUAAAGAAGAUGGAGACGAGCGGAAUAAGCCCGGAUAGACACAGUUAUAAUCAAUUAUUAAAGGGUCUUUGCAAGGCUAAUAAGCUUGAGAAGGCACAUGCUUUGUUCACUGAUCAGAUGGAGCUAAACGGAUUCUGCGAUGUUGUAUCUUGUAACAUACUAAUCGAUGCAUUUUGCAGGGCGAGGAAAAUGGAGAGUGCAUUUAACUUAUUCAAGGAGAUGAGUCAGAAAGGAAUAACCGCUGAUGCUGUGACUUAUGGGACACUGAUUAAUGGAUUUUUUAGAGUAGGAUAUUCUAAUGUAGCUGAGGAACUUUUUCACCAAAUGCUUAAGGCUGGAGUUGUCCCAAAUGUUAAUUUGUACAAUAUUAUGAUUUACUACAUUUGUGAGGCUGGUCGUCUGAGAUAUGCUCAGAAGUUGUUCUCCGACAUGGUUGAGAAGGGAAUAAACCCUGAUGUAGUUUCUUUUAACACUCUAAUAAAUGGGCUUAAAAAGAGUUUAAGAAUGAAUGAGGCCCUCGAUGUAUACAAGGACAUGUGUAAUAAAGGAGUAACUCCUGACAACUUGACAUUUAGAUUAUUGGUUGGAGGAUUUCUAAAGGAAGGGAAGAUUAUGAUGGCUUAUAGAAUCUGGGAACAUAUGAUGGAGAAUGGAUUCACUCUUGACAGAGACGUGUCAGAAAGACUGGUAGAUGCAAUUAAGGCAAAAGGCAACUAGACACGAAUUAUAGAGUCAUGUGCCAUGCUAGAGCUUCUGUAGAAGUUCUAAUUGAGAAAAACUGUUUGAAGAAACACUAACAUUUUUCUCAUUAAGAAUCCUUCAACAACUACUUGCUGCAGCAAAAAUAGAAAUUUCAAUUUGGAGCUUGCUUUUGGAGCCUUUAAGUUCAUUUCAGCUCCAGAAUUUUGUCUGCCAAGCGCUCGGCUGUUGCUCUUGGAAUGAAAAUGCUGUUUCAAAAAUCAGACCAAGUACUUACCAAGAAUUCCAAUGUUCGUUUAAUAGCUUCAUUUUCUAUUCCAUCUUUAUAUUUGGGGGAUUAACAAAUCCAUCUUUUGGUUGUUUGUGCUUUUGUACAGUAUCCAGAAGGGCAGAAUCUCAAUGCACGAGAUCUCGCACUUUUGGCUCAUGAAUGUGAAUUGUGUUCAGAAAGAUACGGUAACUUAUUGGUGUUGAUUAGUUCUCAAACCACAAAGAAUUGUCAUGUUUUUCUUUUCUUCACUUUUGCAAUUUUGGAAUACAAUGUCAUGUUUACGAGUCAGUAUUCAUAUACAACACAUCACAUGUGUACUUCCAAAAUCCAAACUAUUCAAAUGAAAAGAAGAAAGUGCUUCCUAGAAAUUUGAUUUUUUUGAUAGAACAGCUACUUAAAAUGUUCCUUCUGAGACUCCGCCAUUUGACCCAAACUCAUAUUGGCUUGGUCUGCGAAAUCUGGGAGAAUCAUAAUAGAAGAAAUUAUAGAAACUUUGGGAAGGUUUUUGUCGGUUAUAUUUUCAAGUGUUUUAGAUCCAGUGGAAACUUUGAAAUAUCAAACCGAGAUACGGUAAUCCGCUUUCUAACACUUUGAUUUACUGUUAUGUGAGUUUCCUCCUUGAUAGACUAACAUAAAACGGAGGCAGUCUCACAGUUCUAUUUUAGGUUGAACUAAGCUAACUAAUACAUAUCUUAAUGCAGGAUGGAGAGAUUUACAUCAUUGAAGCAGUGGCUUCCUCAGUAAGGCAAUCUUUUUCACUCUUGUUUACAUUUUGUGUAUCUGCAAAUCUUCUGAAGAAAUUCUUCCAGGCAUGCUUUUCCAAGUACUAGUUCAUUUUAAAAUCACUUUGAUUAAGCACCUAAGGCGCCUAAGUAUAAUUAUUAUAUUUUGUGUGUCUAUUUUGUUAUCAACUGGUCCGGUCGAAUAUCCUAGUUUAUGGUGUGAUAGAAAUUCAACUGUAACAUAAAUGCGGCUGAUAUGUUUGAUAUGCUUUAGCAGUAUUUGCUUGGGAAAUUCCUUCUAUUGCUAUCCACCGUUCAUGGGAUUAUACCGUUACGACGAGUUGAAAAGAUGAUAGCCGUGUUGUAAGUAAGGAGCUUUCGGCAUUUCUUGUAUUGUAAUUCAGAAUGUUUGCAAACAUGAAUCUAUACUAAUUAUUGGAUCUUAUUGCCAGGCCCCAAUGCUUAUGUUGACGCCACUGGAGCCGUGUGCCGCACCGGAUUGGUUUCCUUGCACAAAUUCUACAAGUGAACACCUCAAGUGUUUCAGCUUAGUGUAGAGAUGAUUCGACAGUUUUCUCUGGCAACAGUAAUGGCUAAAGAAGGGCGUUAAAUGCAGAAUAAUGUUGUGAAAUGCUCCUUUUUGGAUCUGGGUAUUAUUAUGUGCAUUGAUCUUUGUAACAAGCAUAGUGAUACGCCCGUUUGUCAACAACAUAAUUUUCUUCGAAAUUUAGUCUAUGUGUGUGAUAAUUUGUGCGCACUUAUGAUAUAAAUUGUUCGUGUUCUAAUGGAAGGAUUAUGUAUUUUUUAACCCCCUAAUCCAGCAAAGUGAUAUGUAAUGUACUCGAGUUUUUGCGAGACCUCAGAAAAAAAAACAUCUGCAACUGCAAGAAAAAUUACUACAGCAGGGAGGGACAAUAUUUCUUUUUUCAUACAACAGUAGUGCAUGCUAUUUGCAAAAUUAUACAGCUUGAACCUGAAAAUAAAAGAAGAAAAGAUGAAACACCCAUUACUGCAGAAAACUUAUCUACUCUUCAGCAGGAGGGACAUCACUCAAAUCUAAACCCUCCGCAGGCAAGUCCGAGGUCAGCGGACCUAAUAUACCCUCCGAACUUAGAGUUAAACCACUCUGCAUAAAAGAAAGCAAAUAUCAGAGCAAUUAAUCCACAUAUUCAACUGUAGUGGCAAAGUUAGAUUUAAUAGAUUUUCAUUAGGGAGAAAUGUUCUUCAACAAGCCAUUGACAUGACAUUGCGAAUGAUAGUUAACAAUCUCAUGCAAGGUGAUUAACAAAAUCGCAUCGCGCUUAGAACUCGGCGGAAAGAAAUGACACCAAGAAUUAACUGUAAUAAUUAAACGGCAUAUUGCUAGAUAAUAGUGAGUACCUCGGGUUGGAAUCUUAGCAUAUCAGCACGGGCCAUUGCCUCGGCUUGAGCUAUCCUCUGCCUAAAUAUCUGAGCCAUCUCAUCCGCCUAAUCGAACCAGAAUAAGUUAGAAAACCAGUACCGAUGAGAUUCUCGGAACACAAGGCAUAAAGAAAAUAAUAGUGAUGAAAAGUUUGAAUGAGUGUUACCUUCUCAAAAACAAGUUUUGGAUUGCGAAUCAUGUCACCAGGGGUUGGUUCAAGCUUCUUAGUAGAGAGGCUAACUCGGCCUCUUUCGCGAUCAUGGCUUAGGAUCAUCACCUUAUUGGAUCAUAGGUUUCUCUAUGUGAGCUUUAAGAAACAGUUAAACAACUAAAAUUGACAAAAAUAAGGGUUAAGACAGUACCUUGAGGGUGUCUCCAGGUUGCAACACUGUUGAGAUGUCCGAUACACGAUCAUGGCUUAUCUGGCUAACAUGGAGAAGGCCAUUGAUUCCACCAAUGUCGAUAAAGGCACCAUAAGGUUUUAAACUCUGCACAGUUCCCAAGACCACCGAACCAAUACCGAGCUGAGCUUGGCUAUCGGCCAUGGCUUUGCGAUUACUCAGAACAAGCCUAGAUUGCUCCUCAUCAACCUCAACGAAUUUAAGGGGUAAUUCCUUAUCAAUGAGUUCCUCUGCAGACGAUUUCUGAUUAAGAUCUCAAGAAACAAGUUAAUAAGACAGUUAUCCGAGGAUUUCCUAUUAUUUGAAUAGAACAAAACGAGGCUCAUACAUAUUUUAAGUUCAAAUGAGGAUAAAUACGAAGGUUAAUAGAUUAAGGAACCAACCGAUGAUAUCUGUGAAAAUGGAACAAAACCACGAAGACCUUCCACAAUGGCUACCACACCUCCUUUAUUUCCUCCAACAACCUAUGCAUUAUAAAUGAUGGCAAAAUCACAUAACGAGGCAAACAACGCACUUCUAAGAGCUAUUCAAAUUAAUAUAAAGAAAGUGUUUUCAGAUAAAAAUAACAUACUUAGAAAAGUUGAUCGGUACGAGAGUACUUGAAAGAAAAGGAGGCAGUAAUAAAACAAAGCAAACAUGAAGUGGACUCGGGAAAGCGUGAAGUUCAAAAAUUCCAAAGAACGAACUGAAUCACUUCUCCUUGCAUAAAACGCAUCUCCAUCAUCCCUCUAGUUGACUCAGUUUCACUGCGGUUGAUUUCACCACAUAGUUAUGACAUAAUAAAACCCUUUUAUAUAGAAUAUGCAGUCGGCUAGAGCAGAGCACUGCUUAAAAGUCAAUAGGACUGUACAGAUGGACUGAUGUGCUCUUAUGACUGACUAUCAACUUAAAUGUGUAACCUUCAAAUUUUUGUUGUCUAUCCUGACCAACACAUUACCGAGCAAGAAAUACUUAACAUGAAACCUACAAAACCAAUUUAUCCAACACAUUACCGAGCAAGAAAUACUUAACAUGAAACCUACAAAACCAAUUUAUCCAAAAUGUGUCUCAAAAUAAAUGAAUACGUGAGCUAUCAACACAGUUCACACAAUACAGUAAAUGUUUAUUUAGUGUACGAUUUAAACGAAUAUAUGAAAUAGUGUUUCCUUGAAAUAAACAAAUGCUAGAGAACAACAUAAUAUCAACAUAGUUGCACAAUUUCGAAGUAAAUGUAUGCAUGUAGGUAACUAUAUAUAGCUUCAAAAGAAUAUAGGCAUAAUCUGUCAAAACUGGGAGCAAAAAAAGCUCCUGAUGAAUUCUAUUUACAAUGGAUACUCACCUUACCCUUCACAACAACAUCUUCAGCUUGGAGUUGCCUGCACCUUUCCCACGCAAGAUCAUACUGAAUCGACCGCAGACUCAAAAUUAAGCUAUCAUCGGAGGUCUUCUCACCAAUUACAACAAACUCUUCAACUAAUCCUGGAUAAAUGCCUGCCUCCGAUACAUGCUUUAAUUUAUGAAUGCAUGCCUCUUGAAGAGGUAAGUAAGCAGAAGAUUUAGCUGUAAUGUCAACAAGUGCACCAUUUGCAUCUGUCAUGAAAACUGUGCCCUUAACCUGUAAAAAUAGUUACAAACGGUCGGUUGGCAUUGAAAGACAACAAAUAUAUGUACAACUUCAUAAAAUUUUCCAAAGUAGUUUUCUUUAAAACUAUGUUGCACAGAUACGGAUACGGGGAUACGGAUACGACACGAUACGGAUACGAUGAUACGGCAAUUCCUAAAACUUCUAGGAUACGAUACGCGGGAUAUACUUGAAUAAAAUAUUAUUUUAAAUAUAUUUAAAUAUAUGUUGAGUAUAUGUAAUAAUAUAUUGAGAGCAAUCAGGAUAUUUGGACUAUAUUAAGGAAUAUAUUCUAAUGUGCAUUAACUUGUAUAAUUGUCUUACAUAUGUUCAUAAAAAAAGAUAAUCAAUCAUAUAAAAUAAUAAUUCAAAAAGUAUCAAACCAACUAUUAUCUAACUUGAUCAAAUGAUAACAAUAGAUAUGCAGUCGCACAAACUAGAUAAUUAGCCAUUCAAUAUAUAUGUCUGUUUUAUUAGUUCUAUUAUUAAAAUAGUAAUAUAAAAAUAUGCUAACAAUUUAAUAGAGAAGGAAAAAAAAAAAAAAUUUCUAUAUCCUUUGUUGCUUAAUACUAGGUUGACAAAUUAGAUGAAAAAGAGUAAAUACUGUGUGAAGAGAGAACGAGAGGGAGCACCUUCUACCAUUCAAGAGCAAAAAGGUAGAUGAAAUGACAAAUUGAACAGUGAUUGGCGUUUUUCUCUCUUUUCCUUCUUUCCAAUAGAUUUGGACGUGAGCUCUUAAAAAUAAUUUAAGUUUCGAUCAUUUUAGACCAAAAAAGAAUUUGGCCAUGUCCCCCCGGUAUCCCCCCGUAUCCCUCACGUAUCCGAGCCGUAUCCGAUAUUUUUUUAUUUUUUAAAAAUGCCGGAUAUUUCAUUCCCGUAUCGGGCGCAUAUCGGUAUCCGAUACGUAUCCGAUACGGGUACGGCAUGAAAUUUGAAGUAUCCGUGCUUCAUAGCUUUAAAACCUUUGAUUGAUCCACUAGAAUGUAUGAUGGACAACUAACUUUGGUUUAAACAUCAAUGAUUUUGCAAUAUUUCAAAAGAACAAGGCAAACAAUACAUGAAUUCAAACAACUAUCUAAUGCCAUUUACUCCAUACACUGAUUUCAUAGGAAAUUAUAACCAUGUGGACAAAUUCCACAUUAACUCCAUCUAAGUAGAGCAAAUUACUACCAACAAUCCUUUGCAAAAAUCUCCACCAGCAUCAAAAUUAUGCAUCCAAAAUUAAACCAUACAUAUCUUCUAGAAUCUCACUUAUGAUGAACUCAUUUAAAACAAAACUAGAGAACUAGCCAGCCCCUAUCCACAAAUCACUACUCAACACAUUCAAAUCCAAUACAAAAGAACUCAACAAUAUGCUUGUUACAUAUCUUAAACUCGCCCAUCCAUUUUGCCGACAUCGUCUAUCCCACUAGAAUCGAAUAGUUAAACACAAAAACUACCAAUUCAACAUCAAAUUCACACAAAUCGCGUAUCAACAACACUCCCAAUUCCACGAGAGAGAGAGAGAGAGAGAGAGAGAGAGAGCUAGGGCGAGACCUUGCUUCCGAUUUCGGCGUCGAAGUCGUACUUGUCGAGGGCGGCGUUGAAGUCCUCGACGGUGAAGGAGACGCCCUCCAUGGGCGCGGUGCGGCACCGCUCGUAGGCCUCCUCGAAGAGCUCCUUGAGCUUCUGCCGCUCCUUUUGCGCCGGGGUUAGGGCGUACGUCCCCGCCACCACCGCCGCGACCACGGUGGUGGAAACCCUAGACGACGAAGAAUAAGGGCGCUUAGAGGAGGAAGAGGACGACGAGGAGGAGGGUUUGGAGAGCGCAGGGGAGGAGGAGAGGGGCGGGCAUCGGAGGCCGGAGAAGUGCUGCGCCAAAGACGCCAUUUUUGAGCUCCCUCAGUCUCUCCCUCUGUGGACUCUAAUCUAUCCCCUUCUUUAUCCUACUGUUAUACGGGUUUCGGGUUUUGUAAAAACGGAUCGGAUCCGACCAUAUUCGUAUUCAUCCGCAUUCGAAUUUAAAAAAAAUCAGAUUUUAUAGGAAAAGAUUACAUUAACUCUAACUAAUUGGAUUCACAGCUCUACUUGUUCUUCAUGCAUUGAGUGUCCUCCUGUGGGGCUUCUGUUUAUGUAUUAUGUUUUGAAGUUUCUAGAUACGGCAAAUAAAAUUUAUCUGAAUUUUAUUGCACUUAGAAUUAAAAUUUGUAUCGAACAAAUAUAAUACUACCUUGCUCAUUUAUGUGUUACAAGUUUAGUUUGAUUAAUAGCGAUUUAUGUAUUUUUGUGGUUAUAUAUAAGCAUAAAUUACGCUUAGAUUUAUGAGCUUUUGUUUGAUUACUAAGAUGUGUAGGGAAAUAAGGAGGGUUUAAUUUUUUUUUUUAAGGGAUUAUUAAGUGAUUUUAUUACUAUGUGUGGGGAGGUAAAAAAUGUUUGAUUGUUUUUCAUUAGAAGAUAAGAAGAUGAUUUUUUGCAAAAAUAUUAUAAAAAAAUAAGAUGAUUUUUUAUAUUCUUCAUUUAUUUUAUUAUCAAUUUCAUAUAUAAAAUCUUAAUCGCAUUGUUGUUAAUUCUAAUUCAUAUUUAUAUACGCAUUUUAGCUUAUAUUAUUAUUCGAAUAGUAUUCAAGUAUAUAUUCGAUUCACAUUCGAAUCCGAAAACAUAUUCAAUCGUAUUCGAAUCUAUUUUUUACCGCUAUGGUAAUAAAAUCUAUCAUCAAAAACAUAUUUGUAUGUGAAUCCGUAUCAACAAAAUAAAAAAAUAAAUAACAGAGAGAAUGCGAGUAUGGUUCCACCAACACACUGCGCACCUUACAAUGGUGUAGGGGAUGUUCAACAAUUUCGUUUUAAAGUAAAGAGUAAAAUACAAUGUUGUUUAAAGCUUAAGAACUAAAAUGAAAUCUUAUUGAAAGUUUGAAAUCUCAAAUAUUGAAUCCAAAAGUUUAAAAACCAAAAUGAAACUUGGACUUAAAGUUCAGAGGCUAGUAAAAUAAUUUACUCAAAUUUUAAUGGAACAUUUGAAAAAAAAAAAAAAAAAAAAAAAAAAAAGGAAAAAAAGGGGGGAAUAAUUUGGAACUUUUGCUAUAAUAAAAGCCAAGUGGAGAUUUUAGAACCUCUGAUUAUGCUCCAUUCAAAACAUACUAAAUUACUAAUGAUAAAUAGUAUUUUAGCGUAAUGUUUUUAUAAUAACAAUAUCAUUUUUUGAAAUAAUGUGUCCAUAUUUAUAUCUGUAGGAGGUUGAUACUGUCAGAAAAAAUACUGCUAGGAGCAAAAUAAAAUUUCAAUUUGUUUUUCACACAUUUCAGUAUAUAAUAAUAUAUAAUAAGUUAAAAAUUGGUUGAACUAUCUUAAAAAUGUAAUGUGGGACGUAACGGACCAGUUCAGAAAAACUGCUGACCGGGAGUGGGCCGCCACCCAUGUCAAUGUAGGCCGGGUUGGAGUGCGCUAGGCAACCCAAUUAAUUUUUUAUUUUUUAAUAUUUUUAGUUUUUUAUUGGGAAAAUUUUAAAAAACCUCCUGUGGUUUCGUAGUUUCUCACUUUACUCCCAUGUGGUUUAAAAUGUAUCAAAUUGCCCCCCUGUGGUUUCUUUUUUAUCUUUUCGGUAGCUUUUUCGUUAAUAUUUCAUUAAAUUAUAUACAAAAAACUUCAGAUACCCAUUUAGAUUUAUCAAAUAUUCACUUUAGUACCCUUUAAUUUUAACUUUAUCACUGAUUUAAGAAAAAAAAAAUAAAAUUGAUAAGAAAAGGCAAAAAAAGAAACCACAGGGGGGCAAAUUGAUACAUUUUAAACCAUAGGGGGGCAAAGUGAGAAACUACGAAACCACAGGGGGUUUUUUUGAAGUUUUUCCUUUUUUAUUUUAAAUUUUUAAUAUUAGUCUUUUAAAGUGUGUAUUAAAAUUCGAAUAGCUUUAAUUACAUAUAAAAACUUAUUUGUUAUAAAAUAAAAAAAAAGUUUUGGAUCAUGCCGGCUCAAUAAACAUGGUGUAGACGAGAGACUUACAACAAAACAUCAUGUAAGAAGGAGAAUGUAAACUUAAAAUUGUUUUAAUAAAUUUUUAAAAAAAUAUUAUGAUUUGUUUAUUUUUGAGCCGAAGUCUGAGAUUUACCAUGGAAAGGUUGAGCUAUUUACGGGCCAAAGAGUGGGAAAAGACUUCAGUUAAGGAGCUCCGAUUCGCUUUUAUAUGUUAGUUUUAUCUUUAUAUAAGAUUUAUAAUUAUUCCAUCGUAGUAUUAAAAAAUGUUCAACGAAUCAUUAGAUGACAGCACUGACACGUAAAAACAAAUCAAGAACUCCAGCACUGACACCACUGACACGUAAAAGUAAAUUAAGAACUCCCUAAAGAUCAAGUACACAUAAAAUAAACACAAAAUAUCUACUCUAUCUACUUUUUUUUUAGAGAUAGAUAGCACGCUAGCCGUUUCGUUUAUUUCAUUUAGAAAUAAAUUUAGCUGAAAAUGUGAAUCAAUUAGCAUUUGAACUUGGAUAUCGAGUACCAACUAUCAAAUCUUUUGCUACUUGCUCUAGGGACGGUCGGUAUAUCUACUCUAUCUACUAAGAUCGAUUUACUCGCAUAAGGGCACAUAUGAUGAUACUCAGGACUAGACUAGACAGGAUAAUGGAAGGGAAUUGGAUAGGAACAGUACUUGACUCGGACUCAAUUAAAAAAAUAAACUUUUUGGGUUUUGGAACGCAUGAUGUAAUAAACAAUUGAAUUUAAACCAAAAAUCAAAUUCACAAACUUUGAGAUUGACUUAAAAAUAUUUUAAUGUGAUUCAAAAUUUAAAUAUUCAAUUGAAAUUACUUAUUAAAAACUAAAAUUAGAAUUAAAAAAGUUUCAACUUUUAAUUGAAUUUUCAGAUAAAAUUUAAAAAUUUUGAAUUUGAACAUAAAUUUAAAUUUAUAUUUUGAAUUGUAAAUUUGACAUUCAAUUUAAGAACUAAAUUUAAAUUUAAAUUUAAAUUUUAGGACACGAUGGUGUAAAAGAACUAGAGACCGAAAACCUUGUAACUAAUUGAGAAAUAUGAAAAAAGAAAAAAAAAAAAAUCUAACAUGGCACUUAACUAAGUAACAAGUAACAGUAGGGUCUGAAUUAAUGUAACACGCGCAUGCAUCUCACCACAAAAUCUACGGCCGCCUUCUUCACGUCCCUUUCGACGCCAUCCACCAUCUCGCGGACGCCCUUUAUCCCCUUCUCGACCUCCUUCUUCUUCUUCUUCUCCAUCUCUCGUUCGAGAUGAGAGGCUGCCUGCACCUGAAGGCCGGCCUCCUUAGUUGGCGCAGCAACAUUACUUCGUUCUAUCUCGACGGCACGUAAGGCGACGCGCUCUAUCCUCAGGUUCUCGAGAAGGGCUCUUAUGCGCUCCAGAUCGAAGUGCAGCAGCGCAGAGCCGGCCACUGCCUCGGCGCAUCGCCUCGACGGCAUUCUAUCUGGCUUUCCAACCGGCUCUUGCGCACUCUGGGCAAGGACUCAACCGCGUUCAUGGCGGUGGCGCCCAGCAGAUUUACCACCGCGAGGGAUGCCACCGGCACCGUAGCAAUGGCGACCGGCGGGCACCAUCGUGGCCACGAGCGCCGUCAAGUUGAUGACCACAAGCACGGCGGGCAGCACAGCGACUCUCCAAAAGCUCUUACAUUUCUCAAGGGCCUCCUCCAGCUCGCUGUGCCUCUCUCUCAAUCCCUUCAGCAGCAGCCAUAGCCCCUUGCGGAUCUCCUCCACGAGUUCAGCGGUGCUCAUGUCCUGAAACGGGCUCCCCUCCGCCAGCUCCGGCGCCACAAUCAUCAUGGUCUUUCUGUCGUCGUCGUCAUCUCCGUCGUUGUCGACGCGAAGCUUCACGAGUGAAAGAUAGAAUAAUAGAAUAGAGGGGCGUAGACGUUAUACCUCAAAUAGAGAAGCACGAGGGCGAGGUUUGAGGGGGAGUACGUUGGAAUAAACAGGAUCGAGAUCCACGGCCGGGGCAAUGAUGACGGACUCAGAGUAGGGACCGGACGGCGGCGACAUCUCGGGUGCGAGCCGGCAGAUUUGUCUGAUCAGCAUCGCAUAAAAGUGGGUGGAUCCAACGUCGGCGUUCGACUUCUCCGUCUUCUCCGUUUUGAUGUUGCAAGCACGCUUUUUUUUUUUUUUUUUCCCUGUGGUAUAAUAUCCAAAUCAACGCGCAAAAAUUAUUCACCGCAGAAUAUAUUACGAUUAUAAGGAUCUGAUUUCAACCCACCAAAAACCUCUGAUGGUGCCCUAGAGAGAAUCCAAAAGAGAGAAUUUCAUCAAAAGUCAAAAGAUUAUAUUAAUUUUCUUACUUAUCGUAUGUGGCCAAUACCUUAUGUAUUUAUAGAUCAUAAAGAAGACUUUAAUUCUAAUCCUAUUAUAACUGAAUCUCAUAUAAAUAGAAAUUUAAACAAAUUAGAACUUAUUUCUUAGAUUUAUUGUUUAUUCCAUAUGAACUAGAAAUAUUUUAGAUAAGUCUUAAUAUGGACGAAUCCUAACAUUUCUAAUAAGAAAACGGAGAACUCUUUUUUAAAAACUAGUUGAAUGUGCGUAUAAAUACACGUAACAAUUAUUUUAAUUUAUCUCAAAUCAACAUAAAUUUGUACAUUAUAUUUAUCCAUAAAAUUUACAAUAAAACUAUAUUUUAUAAAUUUAUAUAUUAUAUUUUACUAGAAAAUAUUUGCAAUAUUCUACGGUAUUUUUUUUAUAAUAUAUUUUUUGAUUUUUGAUGAAUCUAUAAUUUAAAUAUGUGUUUUAAACUAAAAGUAUCAAAACUUAAUUCACAUUUACUUUAAAAAUUAAAAUUUAAUUUUGAUCCACUAUAAUUAAAAAAAUUAAUUGUUAAUUUAAAUUUGAUAUCAAAAAUUAAAUUUAAUUCACGAUUUAAACUCAAAUUUUAAUUUUAAUGUAAAAUAGAUAGAUAAGAAUGUUAUUUUUUAACAAAUUGAUCAUAAUUGUUUAUUUUUAUUUGAGUUAUUUUUUAACAAAUUGAUCAUAACCGUUCGUAUGACUGAAUUUAUAGAUAGAAAGAAAUAUUAUUUUUUAAUAAAUUUAUUAUAACCGUUCGUUCUUAUUUAAGAUUGUUUUUAAUAAAUGGAUCAUAAUUCGUAUGAAGCGUUAUUGUAGGAAUUUCUAUACCCUUUUAUAUAUAGUAUAAAUUUAAGAUAUUUUUUAAUAAAUUGAUCAAAACCAUCCACAUGGAAUCUUUUUUUAUUUCUUUUUCGAUUCCGUCUGUUAUUAUAGAAAUUUUUAUGCGCUUUCAUAUAUAAAUAUAAUAUAAAAAUUAUUAUUGUUGGUUUUAUUUUCUGAAAGGGAACAAGCAGAGAGGAUUAGCGGGUAGGAGAGAGACACGCCCCCAAUCUAUUUGAUGGAAGAACAAGAUAUCCUUUUGAACAACAUGUUCUAAUAGAAAAAGGUCCUACUUCUGCAGUAAAUACUUGGAACUUAUUAAAUUAAAAAAAAAAGAACUAAUUCAACUUAGAGCAUAUUUGAUUGCCUGCAAACGGUUAAAAUGAAUAAAAUUACUUUUAUAAAAGUAAUUUUUGAGUUCGAUUAUUUAGUUGGCUAUAUAAAGUAAAAUAAUAAAAAAAAAUUAUAGUUUUAUAUUUUCUAUUGCUUGAUUAUUUAUUUGAUUUUAUAUAGAGAAGUGAAAAUAUAAACAAAUUAACAGCUUACGCUCAUAAUUUAAACUAAAUUUAUAUUUAUAUUUAUGUUUAUUUAAAAUUAAUCAGGGUAAAAUAUUUAACUUAUAGUUAACUAACUUUUUCUAAUGUAUUCUAAAAGCAGGGACGUAUUUGAAAAAUAUUAAGAUUUUUAUAGAAAUAACUUAUAAAAAUUAAAUUUUACAAAAAUAUUUUUGUAAGUUACUAUAUUUGCAGGACUUAUGCAAUUAACCCUUAUUUAUAUAUAGUCUCGAUAAGCCCGGUUCACACACAUGGUAUAUGAUUAAAAAUAUAGUAUUUUAAUACUAUUUAGCUUUAAAUUGUUCCGCUUUAUCACAUGUACUUAAAAGAAAGCUUCGUCACGAAAUUAGUACAAUGAAUAAGCUGUCCGGUUCGAGUCUUAAAUAAAAAGAUUUAACAUCAAAAGAUGUAGUAAUAAAAAAACACACAUCUUAACAUUCGAUCAAUGAAUGUUGAGGGUUUUGGAACAUAUAUACGACCAAGUCUUCAAUAUCAUAAAUAUUACACAUAGAUACACCAACCACCCAGUACUAUUUUGAUCACACAAGUAGAAGAAACAACACCGACAUUAAGCAAACUACUGAUCGAAAAUAUAUAUCACGAGACAACAUAUAGAAACAACAAUUUUACCACUCAUUUGGCAAUACUGUUCACAAAGUCGAUGGCCUCCUUCUUCACCUCUUCUUCGACGCAGUCUGCCAUGCAUCUUGCGGACUCCGAGAUGAGCCAUUGCCGCUGCUGUCUGGCCGACGCAGCCCUGAUCAGCAUGAUCGUCAGUUGCCGUAGAGUACAUGCAUGUUUUGUUUUAUCUCGGCGGUGCGUAGUGCGGCGCGCUCUAUCUUCAGAUUCUCAACUUGCGCUCUUAAUUAUCUGCUUCAGAUUGGGCGGCAGCAGCAGCAGUGCCAGCAGCUUGGGAGCAAGCCCACAGACAGCUUCAAACAGCGUCGCAAGCUCUGCGUGGAGGCCGGCAGUUCGACGAUGUUUGAGCUCUCGGCCUUGCUGAUGUGGCCACCCAUUUCUUGUCUAGGCAAGCGGAGAGAGAAGAAAAGGAUAUUUUGAGGAGUGGAGUGUAUGCUCCUAAUGGUUCAAGAUAUGUAUGCCGCUGCGACAGCUUCAAGAAUGCAGUAGUUCUUGUUAGAAUGCAAACGUGCAAUUGUCUCAGGUUGACAUUAAAAACUUGUUUGGUUCAAGGUGAAAUUAGAAUGAGUAAUGGAAUGAGAAUGAAUUGGAAUGAUAAUUGAAAUGACCCAUUCCCCCAAAACGUUUGAUUUAUUUGUGGAUUGAGAAUUGAAAUAAGUUAUUUACAUUUCAUUGUUUGGUUCGUAUAAACUAAAAAAAUUAUAGAAUACUAUAAUACUAAUUUUACUCUCAAAUAUAAAUUUAUAUUAUUUAAAAUUUAUGAAAAAUAUGAUACUAUUAUCUAAUAAGUUUUCAAAAAAAAAAUUAAAUUUAUUUUUAAAAACUUUUAUUGAUUGGGUUAAGGAUAGGGUUUUGAAAGAGAAUAUGUUUUUUUUUUUUUUUUGAUGAGAAAGGGGUGAAGAGAAGGAGGGUGAGAUGGUCACAUGGGCUGCGAAAGCUUAGUGGGCUUCCGGAAUGAAACCUCAAUCCGGGCUAGAAGACCGGAAUCAAGUUGAAGGCUAAUGGGCCAUUCCCAUUCCAGUCCGGAAUAGGAAUCUCAAACCGAUUCAUGCGAACCAAACAAAAUUAACCGGAUUUGAUCAAACCGAUUCCCAUUCCAUACCCAAAAUGGAUGAACCAAACGAGCCCUAAAUAUUUUUUUUUUAUAUAUAUAGAAAAGUGCUUGUGUUGUCUUUAAUUAUUGAAUGAUAAUUAUUAUUACUAUAUAUUACUGUAUUUAAUUUGGCUAUACAAACCAAUAUGAUCAAAUUUUAGCUUGAAUAGUCAAAUUAAAUACUAAUAAUAGUAGUAAUAGUAAUAAUAAUAAAAUUAUUAUUUAGUAAUAAUACUAUUUAUUAUUAUUAAAUAUUAAUAUAUAUUUGUGGAAAAAUAAGAUAAGUAUUUGUAUUUUUUUUUAUUUUAUAAUGAGUUGUAUAAUAUAUAUUGUGGAAAAAUAAGAUAAUUUUUUUGUAUUAUUUAUUUAUUUUAUUAUGAGUUUAUAUUAAAAUUAUAUUUAAAUUGGCAUAUACAAAUUUGAACCUAAGUGUGAAACUUGAAUUGUAUAUUUGCUAAUUUUAGUUCACAUUUAGAAGUGAAUGUUAUUAUUCCAAUAAUAUUUAAAUACAUAUCCGAUUUAUAUUGAAAUCCAAAAAAUUGUUCGAAUAUAUUUGACUAUAUUUUUAGUAGAUAUAGUAAUAAAAAUUUAGCAUCUGAUACAUUGAACAAUCAUUUUCGUUGUUUGUUUCACCAUAAUAAAAAUACGGUCGAAACUCGAGUUAUCCGAAAUAGCGUCCUAAGUCACUUACGGUAAAGAAAAAUGUAGGAAAAAUAAUUAAAUAAAACAAAAAAUAAUGCUAGUUAUAUUUAAAUAUAUUUAAUUAUGACAUUAAUUAUUCUUUUAUUUAGUUUGUAUAUUUAAAAUCGGCCAAUUUGCAUUAAAAAAUUUAUUAGUUUUAAACUUUUGCAAAAGUAGGUCAUUUUUUUGGAUUUUGCAGAUUUGUAUCAAAUUUUUAGAAAACUUGCCACAAUACCUUCAUUCCCUUUUCUCUCUCAUAUUUUUUUUUCUCUCGUUCUUCUUUUUUUUCUCUCUGAAGAGGGCGGCUGAGGCGGAGACGGUCUGUCUCGCCUCUAUCCGUGCACCCUCACCCUCGCCCUUGCCUGUGCACUAUCCCUCAGCCUUUCUCGCCUUCGACCUUGCCGAGGCCGCAUAUCAAAUCUCUUUUUUUUUUUUUUUCUCACCGACGUCCCUCCUCCAUUGCCUCUCUGACUUUUUACGACAGUAAAGAGGGUAGCAUCUUCUUCCUCUCUUCUUUUUUUUUUUUCUCUUGUUAUUUUUUUCUCUUCGACCCCAUCUAUCACCUCCGCGAUCCUUCACCGACGGUUACACGGAUAGUGCCGCAUCCUCUUCCUCCCCUUUCGCCGGCGCAGGCACUGUAACAGCGUGACAACAUCGAAGAGUCGAAAAAUAAAUGGUCAAAAACAAAUGACCUUCUAAAAAUAAGGGGCAAUUUCAUAGAUACCCCUCCCAAAGUUUAAAAUAUCAUAUAUGCCCCUAUAAAGUUUAAAAUAUCACAUAUACCCCUGUAAACACUUAAAAUUAUCACCAAUACCCCUACUGUCAGUUGUCUUAACUUUACUAUAGUUAUUAAAAGGUUAAAGAUGGGUUAAUUUUUAAAAUGACCUAUUUGCCCUCAACUAUGCCUUAAGCAAAAAAAUGUAUGGAGACCCUCUCAACUAUAUGCCAUUUUGAAACUGCUCCCUCAACUUUUAUUAUUUUAGUUGACAACCCAUUAACUUUUAGUUUUUUAAAAAAAUUAACUAAUUUUAGUGUAUGAAAAAUGAGAAUUUUAUCAAAUUUUUUUAUGAUUUUACCAAAUCUAGUGGCUCUAUUUAAAUUUUGGCAAGUAAAUAACUAUGUAUAAAAAUUUAAAUAAAAAUAAAAGUUGAGGAUUUUUCCUAUCUUUUUUUAAUAUUGGAAGCUUAAAAAUUUUUUUAACCAAAAUUAUUUUCAAUAAUUUUCUCCAUUAAAUACAUUAAAAAACUAAAAUAUAAUAUAUUUUAGCCUACGAACAAAACUCUCUUUUUUUUAGUCGACAAAAAAAUACAUGCAUAUUGUUAUUUGAUUUAUUUUUUAUUAAAUAGGAAAAAAAAUUAAAUCUAUCUUUUAUUUCAAAAUUACUAUUACUGAUUAGGAAUGUGAAUUGAUAUAGGUACACAAUUUUAUUUGAACUCGAUUUUGAAUGGGGUGAGCUUAAUCGAUACUGAGUACGGAUAGUUUCAGUUAAAGUUACAAAAAAAAUAAAAUCACAUUAUAUUCAAACUCAAUUAUGGUUUUGAUUUAUAUCUAAACCAAACUUGAACCGAAAUCCGAAGCCGAAAACAAAACCAAAAUCAUAUAAAAACAUACUAUAUAUAAAAUACAAUUUUUAUAUAUUUUUUAAUAAUUAAUAUAUAUUAAUAAUUUAAUUUAAUAUUUAGUAUAUUAAAUAAUUAAAUUUAGGUUUAUAGAAAUUGUCUUGAAAUAUCUAUUAGUAUUUCUACUGUUAAUGGGAGAUAAAGGGUAAAAAUGGCAUUUUAAAAAUAUAACUCUAUUUUAAAGGGACUUUGACCGAACUUAACUAGUGAAGGGUAUUUAUGAUAAUUUUUGAUUUAUUGGAGGGCAUUCAUGAUAUUAUCGGUUUUAGAAGGGCAUUGAUGAAAUUAAUAGUCCCUGGAAGGGCAUCUAUGAAAUUAUCCCUAAAAAUAAAGAUUAGACUUUCUCAAUCUUCGGAGUUAUUAAACAUUAUCUAAAUAGUAUAAAAAAAUUUUUAUCAAAAAUUUAAUCGGUUUGAAUUACUAUACGCCGUUAAACAAGUAAACGGCUCAUAUAGGCCGUAAAAAAACUGUCAAUUUUGCAAUCCUUUGAUCACUAUGUAAAUAAAUUUUAAAAAUUAUAAAAUUUAGUUUCUAGAUAAUUCAAAUACUCUAGAUUAAUUUCAAUGAUUUCGAUCAUCGAUUCGAAAUCUUUAUUAUCAAAAAUGAUUUGAUAGGACGAAGAUCCCUAUCAUCCUAAAAAGAUAAUAGUUAGAUUCUAUCUAUCUAUAUAUAUAUAUAUAUAUAUAUAAUAGUACUUGUCCUAUCAAAUUCAUCUUAAGAGUUGAAAAAUGAACGGUCAUAAAUGAAUAACCUUCUUAAAAUAGAGGUUAGUCUUUCUUAAUUCAUAAUCAAAGUUAUCAACUUCAAGACUCCGAUCAUCGAUUCGGAAUAUCUAUCAUCAAGAACAAUUUGAUAGGACAAGUACUAUUAUCCUAUUAAUAGAAUAGUAGCCCUAGCCUCUAUAUAUAUAUAUAUAUGUGUGUGUGUGUGUAGAAUGAGGCUCUUAUACCAUUUAGGUACCGGAGCUUCAAAACUAUAAUUUCGUUUUCGGUCUUAGAAUAUUGAAAUCAACGAUAUAUACCGUUAAAUAUAAUUUAGGAUAUAAAAAAAUUUUAGAAAUAAAAUUUUAAUUUUUUUGAUAUCACUUACUUAAAAAAUAAAUUAUAUCAAAAUAAAUGCUAAAAAUUAAAUAAUUUUUAAAAUUUGAGAAUUGGACAUUUAAAUUCAAUCCUCUCAGCUCCGCGCGAAGGAUACGGGUGCGCAAUCUUCCGGGCCAAUCUCCGCCGCUCGUUUCCGCCGCGCUUCAAGAAGCUACCCAGCGCUGUUGUCUCCUUGCGGGCCCCACUGGUGGACUUUUUUUCGAUCGGACGGCCAGAAUUCUACGAGCUAAACGGACGGUCGCGAUAUCGAACUUGAGCUGUUCGGACCGAAACACGUAAUGGCGUGACACGAGGAGAAACCGACCACGUCACGGUGGGAAUCAUGCAGUGUACCUCCACCUUAACUUCACUACUCUGUGUUACAGUGUACCCAUAAAACGAUACUAUUAGCUGGACCCGGUUUGAAUCCUAAUUGAUUCAUAUUUUCAGCUAAAUUUAUUUCUAAAUAAAAUAAAUAAAGCGAGUAGAGUGCUACUUAUCUCUCAAAAAAAAAAAUUAAUUUUAAAAUAAUUUCAAGAGCUGCUUAAUUAGCUGAACAUAUUAUAUAAAAAAGUAUAUUAUAUUUAGAUUAAUAGAUUUAAACUUAACUGGUACAAUUAAGUAACACAUAAAUUGACUAUUCAUUCAGCUGCAAUAGUUGACAAAGUAUUCAACUAUUUAAAAAAGGCUAAAUUAUAGAAAACCCUCGUAUCAAAAUCUGAUUUUUCACUUUUUCUUCCUGUCAUUUAAAAAUCUACACUUUUGCUCCGUUGUAAAAUAAAAAAUAUUCACAGAGAGGUACAGUGUGUAUUAUGAUGACAAAAUGACCAUUUUGCCUCUCAUCAUGUUCACAAGAGAAAAUGCUGAGAACAUUUUUGGCAUAAAAAAAUAGAUAAUAAUAUUUUAUAAAGGGAAUCCUAACGAAUUACUAACGGCAGGAGGCAAAGUGAAUAUUUUUCAUUUUAAAAGGGGGUAAAGUAUAUGUUUUUAAAUGAUAGAGAGGGAAUGUGAAAAAUCAGGUUUUGAUAAGAAAAUUUUAUGUAAUUUAGCCUUUAAAAAAUAUAUAUCUUUAGUAUACUAAAAAUAUUAUAAUUGUUACAAUUAUGUUAAAUUAAAUAGUUGUAAUUAUAACUAUUAUCUUUUCAAUUAUAUAAAUUUUUUGUUAUAUCUUCUUAACAACUAUAACCAAUAAAUGGUUUGUGGGCAGUACUGAUUUCGAGAAUGAACGGUAUAUACGUAGCGUUGCGUCAAUAAUUUGAAAGGUAUGUAGGAUGACGUGGUGCACCAGGUCCACAAUACCAUCCGUAAGGAGAGAGAGCAUCUUUUACUAACAUGUGCCUGGGGGUACAGUGCACAAAGCAUGCACGUUGCCCAGUUUGUAGUACGCAACUAAAAAAUAAAUAAAUUUUAUAAUUUAACGAAUCAGGGGACGGAUAAUUUGAAAGUUCUGUAGGAUGACGUGGUGCAAUUGACAAUGUCAUGAUAGUGUCUUUCCAUGUGAAAAAUAUUGGCUUUUAUCCUUCCAUACAACGAAGAUCGGCUACAAUAUUAGUAAUAUAUAGUACUAUCAUGGUAAUUGUAUAAUAUUCUAUUUUCAUGCUUGGCGAAGUUAUCACUCUGUGUGUAAAGACAAUGUGAGUGUGUGUUUGUGUGUGUCUAUAUAUAUUAAAUAUUAGAUUAGGGUGCAUAACAAAUAUACAAUGAACAGAGAGAGUUUUUUGUUCUUUCAUCGUAUUAGUUUCUUGUUAACUAUAUUUAUCAAAGAGAAUGGUUGGGAUUCAUUUGAGUAGAAUUGGCUAAGGAUAUUCAAGCCAAAUGGUCAUAGUAACAUAAUAAAAUUUCUUUUGUUGUGCAUGUAAUCUAAAAGAUUAACGAGAUAGUGCACAAUUCAAAAAUACUAUAAAUAAAAAACAGCAAGCUAUGGUGGGAUGGAGGUUAGAUGAAUCAUAUUACAAUGCGGACAAGCUAGGAAGGUUUCGAAAUUGAAAUGAAAAUAUAGGGAACUAUUCAAAUCCUUUUUAUGUGCUAUUAAUAUAGAUGCAUAAAAAUAUUAAAAAAGCCGAUAAAAACUAGAAAAUAUAAAAAGAAGAUAUAUGACCUUUUAAUCUUUUAGGACGACAAUUUGUUCAAAAUUAUAUUAGAUAUAUACCCCGUUAUCAUAUUCAUAACAAACAUUAGCCGGUUCAACCCCCAACCAAGGAGAGAUAAAGACUAUCUAAAUUCAAUCUUUAUUACACUAAAACCUGCGACCGUCUGAAAUACCAAAAAGUUGUCGAAACAACAUACUGACGAGAAUUUUGAUUUACUUCCCAGCCUUUCAAUUUAUUUGAUUUGAGUUAGUCAGCGGCACUUUAAUUUUAAAAUUUAAGUUAAUCACUUUAAUAAAUUUAUAGUACGUUGUGAAAAUUGUAUGAAAUAUACUAAUUAAAUAUAUAUAAAUAUAAACAAAGAGUUGAAAAUUUGAAGUCAAAGUGCCAUUAAGUGAUUAAAAUCAAACAAAUUGAAGAAUUGAUAGUAAAAUCAAAAUUUUGAAAGAUCGAAUAGUUGAAUCAAAAUGAUCCGGAGUUUAGAUAAGUUUUUUAUGUUAUAUCUAAAAAAAAUUCAAAAGCUACGGGGUGUUAAAAAGGAAAAAAGGCGGAGUUAAAGAAUCAGUUUUAAAAUGAUCUAUUGAUGUGACUUUGUGUAAUUUUAUCCUCCGUUUUCGAGAAUUGUUAUCUAUAUACUCCGCCCUUUCUAUGAGUGAAAUUAUUCCACCGCCUGUAUGAAUGUGAUUAGUAGAGAAACUUUAUCUAUAAGAUAGGUGUGUGAGCUAGUGGCAAUUCGCUUUUUUUUUUUUUUUUUUUUUUUUACUGAAGUCAGUAGUUGGCCCUACGUUAGCCAUGAAGUUGUAGAUACCGGUGCGAAGACAAUCUCAUCCCGGAAUAUUCCAUACUAAUCAACAGGACAUCAACCGUUCCUAGAGCAAGUGGCAAAGGACUUGGUGGUUGGUACCCGAGACCCAAGUUCGAAUCCUAAUUGAUUCACAUUUCUAACUAAGUUUAUUUCUAAAUAAAAUAAACGAAAUGGGUAGCGUGCUACCUAUCUCUCAAAAAAAUAAAUAAAUAAAUCAACAGGGCGACGUUGGGAUUAGGGUAGAAUAAAGUACAAAAACAGCGCCCAUUUCGCAUAGGCAUAGUAUGCAUGUGUAUAGCUUUAUACCACAAGUCUUUUAUUCUUUUGAUAGCAUAUUAUUUGGGUGCAUAUAUGCAUCCUAUCUCACUCGAUAAUAAUGUUCACAAAGUAACCGGCCGCCUUCUUCACCUCUCGUUCGGCGUGUUCCACCAUUUUGCGAACAUCCUGCAUCUCCUUGUCGACCAUCUUCUUCAUCUCUUUCACCUUCACCUCUCGUUCGAGAUGAUCGGCUGCCAGCAUCUGGCCAGCCUCCUCAGUUGGCACAGUACUGCUUCGUUCUAUCUCGACGGCACAUAAGUCAUUACACUUUUUCUUCAGGUUCUCGAGAAGCGAUACUAUGGGCUCCAGAUCAGACGACAACAGUUCUCGGCACAUCGCAUUGAUCCCAUCCUUCUGGCUUUCCAACUGGCUCUUGAGCUUGCCGUCUGUCACGCCGAGCCACCAGUCAACCACCUUCAAGGCAGUGGUGAUCAGCAGAUUUCCCGCCGCGAGGGAGGCCAGCAGCAUCGCCGUGACGGACGCAGGCCUCACCUUCGCGGCCACCAGCGCCCCCGAGUUGAUGACCGCAAGCAGUAUGGACAGCGCCUUGUCGACCUUGCUCCAAAGUCUCUUCCGUUUCUCAAUAGAUGCCAGCUCCACCUUCAGCUUAUUCUUCCUCUCCCACAAUUCCUUCAUCAGCAAAUUUUUCUCCUCGCUGAUCUCCUUCACAGCAGCGCUCAUGUUCCCAGACGGGCUCUCAUCCCCCAGCUUGGUGUUUCUGUCGUCGUCAUCGACGCAAUGCUUCACGAGUGUAAGAUAGGAUAAAGGGGAGCAGACUUUGUACCUCAAGUAGCGGACCACAAGGGCAAGGGUCGAAGGGGAGUUGGAAUACGCAGGAUUGAUGAGGUCGGAGACUGAGUGGGGAUCGGGUAGCGGCAAGCACCCUGGUGCGAGCUUCCAGAUAUCUUCGACCAACUUCGUAAGUUCGUCGCAGUGGUCGGCCGUUCCUACAGCAUUCAAGUUCUCGGUCUUGCUGAUGAUGGCACCCAUUUUUUGUACACAAGAGAUUGUAUUUUUUUUUGUACACAAGAUAUUGGAGAGAGAGAGAGAGAGAGAGAGAGAGAGAGGAAGAGAUAAUAAAUAGGGCAAAAUAUGCAUGAAGUUUGGGAACAAUGCGAAUGGGCCGUACAAAUGACCGUGACAUUUUUUCUUAAUUAUUUCUUCUAUAUUUUUUGUUUUAUUUUUGUCUGGCCAACUUUAUUUAUGUUUCAGUACAUCUAUCAUUUUUUAUAUUUAUAAUUUUAUAAUUUUUUUAAUUAAUAAUUAUUAGUUCAUAUAAAUUUGAUUUGAUGGUCACGUAACUUAAUUCAAAUAAAAUAAAAUGAUGCCAUAUGAUACGAACGGAAUGGGAACUUGGAAUCUUCGAUUUCAGUCGAGGACCAAAAUUAAGGGAGAAAAGCAUGGUGUAUAGCGCCCUGGCAACUUGCCAGUGGCCAUCAUUGACCAAGCCGCAAUGCAAUGCAACGCAAGCGCCGAAGUUGCAUAGAAUUAAGUUUCACUUCUUUUGAUGGAUUGUAAUCACCAGAAAUGAUAUUAUUAGAUAGUUUAUUAAUUGUAAUCACCAAUUUUUCCAAUAAUAGUUUGUUUCCUAGCAGGAUUAAUUAGUUUUUAUUGUAUUCACAAAUUUUUAGUUCAUUUCCCAACAAAAUUAAUUCAAGCACUACCUUAUUUCUUUUUUUUGAGAAAUAAACACUAUCUUAAUUCAAGCACGGUUGUCAGACAAAUAGAAUAUCUCUAGUAAAAUAGUUCUUUUUUUUUAGACAAAGGUAGCGCGCUACCCGCUUCAUUCAUUUAGUAAGUGAAUUAAGUUACAUGGAUGAGACAGCAAGAUCUCGACGGAAGACGAAAAAAAAAGAAAAGAAAAAAAGUACGGUCACUCUACUGGACUAAGUUUCCUCCACAAGUCUGUCAACUGCUUAAUCUUAUAAAUACCGACUGAUGGGUCACUCUGUGUCGUUCCGAAAAUCGCUCUAUUCCUAGAGUCCCAAGAGACCCACCAGCAGGCUAUAAUUCCUAUAAGACCGAUUGCGGUCGGUUGUGUUCUCGUUCUUCCCAUCCAUAUAUCUAUUCCAGACUUGACACACUUCCUUACCCAGAUCUCCUAAUUGGAUAUUUUCCUGGAUUGUUACCAUAAGGAAUCUGGUAAUUAUGCACUGUAUGAAAUAGUUCAUUUUAUUUUACAUCGCUGCAGAGAAAUAAAACUCUAAACGAAAGAGCACAAAUUUAAUUCGAGCAUAGUUGUCGGACAAAUAUAGUGGGAAGGAGGAUUUAAAUAGCCCUACCAGCUGGAUAAAUAUUUUAAAACUGAAAUCUAACACACUUGAUCAACUUUAAUACAUUUUAAAUGACUAUAUAUUAUAAAUUAUAAAUUUUUUAUAGACUAACUAAUAAUUUUUUAAAAUUAAAUAUUAACGCUAUUUGAGAUCUUAAUAAUAGAUUUUAAAAUUUUGUAGUUUUUUUUUGCAUAGUUUUUUUUAAUCUGAUCAUAUAUUAUUAUCUGAAUCCUCAGUUCACUUCCUAUGUGGCAGGUUCAUGUUGUUUUGGCGGCGGGGGCGGCUCAGGUGGGCAUUUUUUUUUAAUCUGAUCAUAUAUUAUGAAUCGUAUAUUUCUGAAUGAAAUAAACGAAGUGGGUAAUAUGCUACCUAUCUCUCGAAAAAAAAAAAAAAAAAAAUUUUCAACCCGUCUUGCCUCAUGAACACUAGAUAUUAAUGCGCGCAACACGAAUAAUUAACCCCAUGGCUCAAUAUGGCUAAAUAUCUGUUUAGGACUCAAUAUGGCUAUCUGUUUAACAUUGUUAUAUGUUGCUACCUGUUUAGGUGGAUACAAUUCAACAUGUGAUAAUGAUAAACACUCAAUCGAAAUUCAACAUGUGAUAAUGACAGACAGUCAACAAAAAUUAUCUUCGUUGCUAAAAGAAAAAUAAAAAAUAAAUAAAUAAAUAAAUAAAUAAAAUUCAUAUCUUAGGCGCAGUUUGGUUCAAGGGAUAGGAAGGAUUCCUGGUCAAAUUCAACAUGUGAUAAUGAUAAACCGUCAACAAAAAUUAUUUUCGUUGCUAAAAAAAAAAUAAUAAUAAAAAAAAAAUCAUACCUUAGGCGCAGUUUGGUUCAAGGGAUAGGAAGGAUUUCUGGUCAAACCUUACUAUUCCCGAUUAUUCCGGAACAGGAAGGAAUUUUUUAUUCUACCAUUUUGGUGAAAUAGUAUAAUGCUUAAUUUCAAACUUAAUUAAAAUUAUAAAUUAAUUUAAAACUAAAUUAUAUAAAUAUAAUAUAUUAUAUAUUUUAAUACAUUAUUUUUAUUAUAAAAUUAUUAAUUAUACUAUAUUAGUACAUAUUAUUUAUAUUUAAAUAUUAUAAUAAAUUUUAUAAUAAAUUACAUUUAAAUAUUAUAAUCAAUUUUUAGGAAUAACUUAAUUUUUAUCCAAACGCAAAAUUGAUCUAAUCCCCUCUUAUACAUUAAUUUAUACAUAUCCCUGUAAUAACUAUUUUUUAAUUAUUCCCGAACCAAGCGAUUAGGGCUGGCAAAUGAGCGAGCCGGCUCGCGUUCGACUCAAUAUUUGGCUCGCUCGAGCUCGACUUGAAAUUAAAUAAGCCGAGCUUGAACAAAAAAAAAGGCCGAAAUUCAUUUCAAGCCAAGCUUGAGUAUUACUCGGCUCGUUCGAAUUAGGCUCGAAAAGCUCGAAAAGCUCAAAUAUAUAUAUAUAUAUAUAUAUAGAGAGAGAGAGAGAGAGAGAGAGAGAGAGAGAGAGAGAGAGAGAGAGAAUUAUGCUGCUAUACUAUAAAUAGUAUCAUGUCAUUGGUACUAUUGAGUUUUUGGUCGUUGGAUUAAAAGAUGCAUGGUUAGGAUGAUAGUUGUCCUCUAAGAUUGAGUGGGUGGUUUGUUUAAUAGUAUAAUCUAACAGGUGGAAAUGAUCAAAGGGUAAAUCUAACGGUAGAAAACUCAAUAGUACCAAGAACUUGGUACUAUCGACAGUAUAGUAGUCAGACUCACUCUCUAUCACUCUAUCACUCUCUCUCUCUCUCUCUCUCUCUCUAUAUAUAUAUAUAUUAAAAAAUAUAUAAAUAUAAUAUAUUUAUAAUUAUAUAUAAGCUGAGUGAAUAACCUGAGUUUAGUUAAAAUUGGGUCAAUGUUGUUAGCCAAUAAAAACAAACCCAAUAGACAAAUAAAAGAGCAAAAUUUCAUUAAAUUUAUAUAUUUUUCCUUUUUUUCUUUCUUUCACAGAACUUUAAAAUUUCAAUAUGUUUCUCUCUUUCUUUUUUUCUGUCUCUCACUCUAAAUAGCCAAGUCGGAAACCCUCCAAGUCACCAAAUAACAGUAUAUGCCCGCCGUUGCCUACCUUGCUAUUAAUUGUAUGCUUGAGAAAAUAUACAGAAUAUUUUUAAAGUAAAAAGUUAUUAUUUAUAUAAAAUUUUAAUUUUAGUUAUAUAUGAUUGGAUAGUUUAAUCCAAUAUUUAUCUAUAUAAUUUAUUUAUUUUUGACUGCAUAAAUAAAAAUAAAUAAUAUGGAGAUUGAAGGCGGAAGAGAAGACAUAUGAGUCUGAAAAGAUUAAGUAUUCAACUUAUAAAUUAUUUUCCUUCAUAUUAUAAUACUAUAUUUUAUGAAAUUAUUUUGUACUUUGAACUAUUAGACAUAUUUUUGUAUCAAAUUAUAGAUAAUAUUCUAUACAAAUUAAACUAUUGAUCGUAUGAUGCUGAGAAUUUCAAGUGGCUCAUUUAGGGCUCGAGCUCGCUCGACUCGAAAUUAGGCUCGCUCGAGCUCGACUCGAAUUAAUUUCAAUCCAAAGCUUCAGUUUAAAUUUAGACUCGAAAUUAAUUUCAAGCCGAAUUUGAG
rnacentral:lncRNA from 1 species